UCCUGCUUCAUUUUCAACAUUUUCCGUUUCUACUUGAUUGGUUUGUCGAGACCAAGAAUCAUUCAACCCGUCACUUUCUUUGGGUGAAGAAACGUCUCGUAAAUCAUCAGGCCAUUGAUGCCAGUCAGGAUCAAUGGAAUCAGCAACGCCAACUGCUUCAGCAGUUUGAAAAGCGUGAUCAUGGUUAUGUGAAUUGUUGGCUGCGGAAGGUAACUGAUGGUCUUCGUCAGGUGGUUCAAACAUAUUUGGAGGAUGUGGGAGAGAAUGGUUUUGAGGAGUUGUCUGAUGUGCUUGUUGAGAACCUCGUUCAGACAUGUGAUGGGACGCUCUCAUUAAAAGGGAUUGAGGGGUAGGGCAUUCUUGGGAAUCUGCAUGAGGGUUUGUGACAAAGCUACCAAGAUUGUGAGUGUUGUCGUCUAAACUAGCACUAGCUGAAUGAAUCCAGUUAGAAGGGGAGGUUGACGUGCGCAUUGUGGAGAUGGAGGAAGAGUUAACAUCUGGAUGAGACAUUAAGCCUGCACGUAAAGAUUUAAUAACCAAAUCAUCAGUUACAUUUACAUUGCAUCGAACUUGAGGUUGGGUUUCAGGAAUUUCGAGAUAAUAAGGAUUUGGUUUAUUCAGGAGAUAAUCGAAAAAAGCAUCAACAUGUGUUUGACUCAUCCACCGUUUUAAACGAACAACAUACUGUUGUAUUUUUUGAGUAGAUUGUUCAUCUUUUCGUUCCACACCAAGAAAACCCACCAGCUUGGACCAAGAGUUAAUUAUUUUUUGGUGGUAUUGCCGGACAAGGAGAAAUAAGACCCAAAUCUCAAAUUUUUGACCCUCUGAUUUAGGAAUC